rnacentral:rRNA from 1 species
UACAGAGGUCCCAAGCGUUGCUCGGAAUCACUGGGCGUAAAGCGCACGUAGGCGGAUCUUUAAGUCAGGGGUGAAAUCCUGGAGCUCAACUCCAGAACUGCCUUUGAUACUGGGGAUCUCGAGUCCGGAAGAGGUGAGUGGAACUCCGAGUGUAGAGGUGAAAUUCGUAGAUAUUCGCAAGAACACCAGUGGCGAAGGCGGCUCACUGGCCCGGUACUGACGCUGAGGUGCGAAAGCGUGGGGAGCAAACAGG